rnacentral:lncRNA from 1 species
CUUUACUUUGUCUCACCUACUCUUAUUUUAUCCUGGGUUAUAAUGAGGUCCAAUUGUCUUCCCGAAAGGUUAUUUGUUUAAGAGAGAUACUCUAACUCAAUUAUCUGGGAAUAAAAGGAACAAAAGAAAGCCAUUAUGCAAAUGUCAGCAAAUCUGGAGUUUCCAAACCAAUUUAUAAUUAAUAUCAAGCUUCUCCUCGUAUGCCAUUAAUAUUAUAACCUCUGAAAGGAGAGAUGAUCAUUCAUUGGCCUAAAAGGAUGUUUUAAGAAAUCUUGCCUGUGGUUCUCAAAAGUUGACAUCAGGAGACUAUAGUACACGGUCUUUGUUGUCCUUGAAUACAGAAAAAAACAAAGGAAAAAAAAAAGCGUCAUGUGCUGCAGUGGGAAGAGAACCCGACUCCAUUGGUUGCAUACGUGGGCAAAACAGAAAUUCAUCUAUACACAAGCCCACCGUGGGCUUCCGCCCAUGUGAUCACAAUAAUCUGAGCUCAUGCUAGUGUGUUUGAAAUUUGGGAUCAUUAUGCAGUCCUAACGUAAAAAAGAGUCUUUAAAAAGUCCUUUAUUCAUUUUAUUUGAUUUUCCUUUUUAUGUGUGAUAUUA